UUUCUCUCCAUCCCACUUUUUAGUUGUUCCAAGUUUUUAUUCCAUUAACUUCAUCCAUUAUUGCCUUCUUCAAAACAGAAAUCAUAGAUCUUUCUUCGACUUCCCGUUUUCCCUCUAUACAACAGAUGCAAAAUGAAAUAAUAUCUAAGAAACUAUGCGUACCACUGAGAAUUACAGCAAAAGCUUGGCUUCAAUCUAUAGAGAUGAGGCUUUUGCAAAAAUCUUUUUUUAUACAGUUUAUUUCGACAUUUUUGAUUGUUAGUGUCUUUUUUAUUUCCCUUGGAGUUGUCAUCUCAGAUUCCAUGUUGGGCCCGGCUUCCUAAAAUCUCAUCUCAGAUGCAUAGAUCGAACCCGACUCUUUCACUUCGUCGUCAGAGUCUCGGUUCUCUGUAAUAGCUGUUACAGCUACAUCCUCCUUUCUAGCAUUAUAUAAACUCCUACACCAAAUCUUUCCUCACGCACAAUCCUCAAUCUCCAAACAAGCAUAACAGCUGAUGACGAUGAAAUUGGAGUUGAGAUCGCCAUGAGGGUGGUUAGAUUCGCCAAGGGCUUGAGCGCUGUGACGAUGUUGAGUUUAGUCCAGAAGCUUCGUAAGGUAUGGAUUUUGAUAUGUGUAAUAAAUUUGAAGCUUCUGGUACGGUUUAAGGUGUGAUGGUCCACUUUCUACAAUAGAAGAACGUCAAACUUUUUCCUUCUUUCGACCACUCUAUUUAUAGUUUGACCAUUCUAAUUAUAGUGUUUUCACUUUGUUGUAGAAUCUUCAGGUUGAUUAAGGAUUAGAUUCAAUAUAAUCAUUGUUUUAUUGAGAAUAAGAUUUACUUAAAUUUUCAGGUAUUCGCUUUGGGGAAAAAAUUGCAAGUAGAGAUGAUGAAGCUUUUGCAUAUGUUCAUAACUUCAUCAAAACCAGUGAUGGAUAUUCUGCUGAUAACGACAAUUGGAUUUUAUAUCGCUCUUGAUGGAGUCAAUCUUCUUGGUCAUGGUGCUCACAAAUAUUUGAACAACGUUGGUUACUACUUAAUUUCACUCUUUUUGUUAAUAAAUCUAAUAUACCACUCAACUUUAGUUUAAUUAGUUUUUUCGGUAAAGACAAAGAAGGUCUACUUAGAGAUCCUGAGAAUUGCCACAAAUAUGGAAUGGGUUAUGUCUCACUCUGCAUGGCCGCUUACUAUGUUGGAAAAGGAAUCGUGAAUCGCUUGAGAAACAAGGGAUGAAUUGCUAUAACAAGGUUUUGCUCGUGUGUAGUCAUUUGGCUUCUGGUGAGAAAGGUGACAAGAUGAGAAGAAACACAGAUGUAGCUGAGAUUCUAUUUUAUACACCAUUCCCAAAAACACCUAAAUCCCUAAUUGUUGCGCACCCGAAAGAAUUGUUGAUCAAGACCGAGUGCUUUGGCUUGGAGAUUUAAAUUACAGAGUUCCUUUACCUAUGAAGAGACAUGGGUAUUACUAGAAGACAAUGAUUUGUGACACACUUCUUGAGAAAGACCAGUUAACCAAAUUUUGUGAUCUGUGAUAACUUCAGCUCAACAUGAAAAGAGGGCCAUGAAGAGUCUUCUCUCGAUUUCAAGAAGUUAAAUCAUAUUUGCUCCAACCUAUAAAAAGUCUCAAAACUCAGAUGCUUACGCCGGAGAAGCCACUAAGUCUAAGAAAAGAAAACAACUAUGUAGUUGUUAUAAAUGUGAUAAACACAAAGAUGAUUAUCCAUUAGACUAGUAUUAAAUUAUUUGAUUUCUCCUAGUUGGUAAGUCACAACAGACUUACU